rnacentral:rRNA from 1 species
UAGGGGGCAAGCGUUGUCCGGAUUCAUUGGGCGUAAAGAGCGUGUAGGCGGCCAGGUAGGUCGGUUGUGAAAACUGGAGGCUCAACCUUCAGAGGUCGACCGAAACCAUCUGGCUAGAGUCCGGGAGAGGAGAGUGGAAUUCCUGGUGUAGCGGUGAAAUGCGCAGAUAUCAGGAAGAACACCCGUGGCGAAAGCGGCUCUCUGGAACGGUACUGACGCUGAGACGCGAAAGCGUGGGGAGCGAACAGG